AGAAGUGUAGCUCAGUCGGUAGAGCGUGCGAUUGAUAAUCGUAAGGUCGCUGGUUCAAUCCCAGCCACUUCUACCA
rnacentral:tRNA from 1 species